rnacentral:sRNA from 1 species
UGAUUAAAAAUGGAUUAAGAUCAAUCAUGUAGUCGUGCUGGCACGUAAUUACAUGAUUGAUUUUGAGACAUGCUAGGCAAUGAGUGAAAAAGAUAUGCGAAUGAAUGAGCAUAUCGAUUUCCGAAUUGCCGAUAGCGAUUGCGAGAGCGAAGCGAAGUAAUCGCAUUUUAAUCA